UCUCUGGGCCGAUACUGACGCUGAGGAGCGAAAGCGUGGGGAGCGAACAGGAUUAGAUACCCUGGUAGUCCACGCCGUAAACGGUGGGCACUAGGUGUGGGCAACAUUCCACGUUGUCCGUGCCGCAGCUAACGCAUUAAGUGCUCCGCCUGGGGGGUACGGCCGCAAGGCUAAAACUCAAAGGAAUUGACGGGGGCCCGCACAAGCGGCGGAGCAUGUGGCCUAAUUCGACGCAACGCGAAGAAUCUUACCAAGGCUUGACAUACACCGGAAAGCAUCAGAGAUGGUGCCCCCCUUGUGGUCGGUGUACAGGUGGUGCAUGGCUGUCGUCAGCUCGUGUCGUGGGAUGUUGGGUUAAGUCCCGCAACGAGCGCAACCCUUGUCCCGUGUUGCCAGCAGGCCCUUGUGGCGCUGGGGACUCACGGGAGACCGCCGGGGUCAACUCGGAGGAAGGUGGGGACGACGUCAAGUCAUCAUGCCCCUUAUGUCUUGGGCUGCACACGUGCUACAAUGGCCAGUACAAUGAGCUGCGAUACCGUGAGGUGGAGCGAAUCUCAAAAAGCCGGUCUCAGUUCGGAUUGGGGUCUGCAACUCGACCCCAUGAAGUCGGAGUCGCUAGUAAUCGCAGAUCAGCAUUGCUGCGGUGAAUA
rnacentral:rRNA from 1 species